UCCUUCAGUAGUAGACUCAGCUGGGUCUCCUUCAGUCAAAGCUGCUGGGAACUUGAGGAAUGGACUGAAAAAUGCUCUUUUCACUCCUAUCCACUGGAAAUGAUUCAAACCUGUUUUAUUCAGCAGACCGUGCUCUCUCUUUUACCCCUAGGAGGAGCAUGUUUUCUAGGGAUGGGUGUUGGAUAAUAUCUCUUAUUUCCUGGGAUUGGAGAGACUUUUCCUGUGUUUACAUAGCUUUCCUUUAAAGCAGAAACACAUCCAGGGCUAGGAAGACAGCAUCCAGGUCAAAGAGUCAUCUUUAAGACUUAAUUACAAGUAUCAGGAGGAAGACAGAGUGAUCCUGCCUUGCAUCUUGAGCACGUUUCACUUUCACAGUGCACACAGAGAUCUGAUCUCAGCUUGUUUGCUCUGAAGAUAAUCAGGCACUGGAGUUAUGCUCCAGUGAAAUUAAAGGAAUUUCAUUUGCUUCUGUCUUUGGCACCUGAACAAGGGAGUUGAUAAGAGAAAGUUUUUGCCAGUGGUCUCCCAG